rnacentral:rRNA from 1 species
UACGGGGGGAGCAAGCGUUGUUCGGAUUUACUGGGCGUAAAGGGCGCGUAGGCGGCUUGUGCAAGUCAGUUGUGAAAUCUCCGGGCUUAACUCGGAACGGUCAACUGAUACUGCUCGGCUAGAGUGCGGAAGGGGCAACUGGAAUUCUUGGUGUAGCGGUGAAAUGCGUAGAUAUCAAGAGGAACACCUGCGGCGAAGGCGGGUUGCUGGGCCGACACUGACGCUGAUGCGCGAAAGCUAGGGGAGCGAACGGG